rnacentral:rRNA from 1 species
GACGAACGCUGGCGGCGUGCUUAACACACGCAAGUCGAACGGUAAGGCCCUUCGGGGUACACGAGUGGCGAACGGGUGAGUAACACGUGGGUGAUCUGCCCUGCACUUCGGGAUAAGCCUGGGAAACUGGGUCUAAUACCGGAUAGGACUCCUGCCUGCAUGGGUGGGGGUGGAAAGCUUUUGCGGUGUGGGAUGGGCCCGCGGCCUAUCAGCUUGUUGGUGGGGUGAUGGCCUACCAAGGCGACGACGGGUAGCCGGCCUGAGAGGGUGACCGGCCACACUGGGACUGAGAUACGGCCCAGAGUCCUACGGGAGGCAGCAGUGGGGAAUAUUGCACAAUGGGCGCAAGCCUGAUGCAGCGACGCCGCGUGAGGGAUGACGGCCUUCGGGCUGUAAACCUCUUUCAGCACAGACGAAGCGCAAGUGACGGUAUGUGCAGAAGAAGGACCGGCCAACUACGUGCCAGCCGCCGCCGUAA